rnacentral:lncRNA from 1 species
AAAGAAUUAGCCUUUCCGCUGCCUACCUCUUUUUUCCUGAAACUCCACUGGCAGUCAGCUCCUGCUAGCAGAGCUCCAGGCCCUCUCCUACAGGAAGACUUCCUGGAUUAAUCUGCUAAUCUUCAGCUCAUCCACCUGUUUAAUAGGCAAAACCUACAGAACUAGUCCACACUGAGUGGACCUCUGGGGCUCCCAGCUGCCGAUUGACCUGAACCCCAGAGUGAACUCGUGUUGCUUUGUGGCUUCAGGAAACCUUGGAACAUCUCUGUGCUGUUUUUUCAUUUGUGCUCAAUCAUUCCUGAGGCCUCCUCCUCCUGCUGCAAUUUGACAAGACUUGACCAAAUCAUUAACUCCCAGUUAAUGGGAUAAAAUGAGUUUGAAUCUGGGAUUCUGGUCAUUAACCCCAUGUCACCAUCUGCUCCAGCAGUUUGAUGGCAGGGCUAGGUGAAUUCUAAUCACCCAACACUUGUUAAACUGCUGAUUCCUGCUUCCCCACCUCUGCUGACUCAGCAUCUCUGGGGUGGGGCCUGCAAAGGCUCUCUUCCUUGACGGGGUUAUUGAGGGCAGCUCUAGGAACCCACCCAGGACCAGACCUGAUGAGGAGUUCCUCCUAUGCAUCAGGUAUGCUGGGUCGGUUUGCGGAGUUUCAUAACUUGCAUUUUCCUCUGCCUGGAGAGUUCCUUGCAGCUGGCUUCUUCUGUGUCACGGCCCCACAGAGAUCUUGGCUGGUCUCCCUAUCUCCACCCUCCACCAUGCUCACUAUUCCAUUACAAGUUUCCUUUUCUACCCAGUACUAAUCAUUUUCUGCAAUUCAUCUCAUUUCCUUGUGAACUAUCUGUUGGUCCUACCAGAAUGUAAGUCUCCACCUGGGGGCAGAGACCCUGCCUGGCUUGUUAGAAGCCAUAUCCCCAGGAUUGAAGCAUAUGAGAGAUGCUCAGAAAUACAAGAAUUCAUGAACAAAUGAACACGAGUGAAUUCAUUCAGCUCUGAUGCUGAGGCUCCCUCUCUGAGAUGAAAGAAUGGGGAACCUUCUUCUAAUCCUGGGGAACCUGGGGCCUGCCCUGAGCCUGAUUCCUGAGGCAGGUGAGAGGCACCUCCUACCUCUCAACCCUGUCUAUUGUUACCCCCAGCACCCAGGGAAGACCUCACUGGAGCCUGAGUCAGUGCAGGGGGCCAAGAGGAAUCUGUGCACCCAGAGAAUCUUGGCUGAGUUACCUGAUUUUAAAACUCCUGACUUAAGGUGCUAUUGACCAAGUACUCCUUAGCUCCAUCGCCUACAAAACCACAGGUGCAGGUGAAAGUUGAGUUUAGGUAUGAACUGAAUACUGUUUAGCUACCCUAUUUAAAAAAUUGUUUUCAUUUGUUUGUUUGUUGAGACAGGGUCUCACACUGUCACUCAGGCUGGAGUGCAGUGACAUGGUCAUAGCUCACUGUGGUCUUGAACUUCUGGACUCAAGCUCUCCUCCUGCCUCAGCCUCCUGAGUAGCUGAGACUACAAGGUGCCACCACAUCCAGCUAAUUUUUAAAACCUUUUUUGUAGAAAUGGGGGCUCUCCCUAUGUUGCCCAGGUUUGUCUCGAGCUCCUGGCCUCAAGGGAUCCUCCUGCCUCAGCCUCCCAAAGCAGUGGCCACAGGCAUGGGCACUGCACCCGGCCAAAAGAAAUAUUCUGUCUUCGCUUCCAACUUGAAAUGGACUGCUUACCUUGGCACUUCCCAUGCCGGCUUCUCUCCACUUUCCAAUCUAACAGGAUAAUGAUGUCAUACAGAAAUAACUUACAGUAGGUAUUUAGUAAAUGCUGGUGUGCAAUAUGGAAUAAAAUUCACAAGAGGAAUUCCAAACUGUUCCUUAUCCUCAAAUCAUUUUUUAAUAGCCAAAAAAUUAGUCUGAAAUUUGAGUCCUCGCCCUUCAGUGUAAAAUCAGUAGCUUUUAAUUUUCCCUUAUUUUGUUUGCUUUAAAGAGGCACACCUACCUAUAGUCCCUUAGUCAUGUAAGGGCUGACCCCUCCCACUGGUCUAAAGCGGGGCUUCUGGACCAUGCCUGACCACAGCCAUCUGAUCCUGAGGAGCCUUUAACCCAGUACUUCUGUUUAAAGAAACAAAAGUCCUCUCCUAAAUAAACAAAGCAGGCCUGACUCAAAUCUCUCCGAUGGGUAAAGGAAAGUACCCAGGAGCAGGAGGCUUGGAUUUCUGAUUUUAUUUCGUGUCAUUUCCCUUCCUCAAAGGUGUGAAACUCCACCCCACGCCACUCCUUUCCUAUUCAUCCUCUACUGGAUGUUUUUUCCUCUAAAUAAUUUUUAUUUUCUAUUUUUGUCUGUAUGUGUUCUCCUCUUUUAGUCUACUUCUGUCCCUCUUUCCCCUGCGAAGGAAAAAUAGAAGAAAGAAGCCAUCUCUGUUUGCUUUCUCCCUGUCACUCAAUCUCUGGAGCCAACUGCUUCACAAAUAAAGAGAAGUGCACAGAGAGUCCCUGAAGCCCACCAUCAACAGACAGGCUUUCAACAAAACUGUAUCAGCACCGCCUUGGCCAUAGCUACACUCUACAGAAAAUGGGAGAGAGGAACAGCGCUAGAGAAGUUUGUCCUUGCCUGGUUCCCGGGUGGAACUUCCUCUCCCCCUUGUGUUCUAUGCGUGUGGUUACAGCUGCCUCUGAUCUUUGGUGACCAGCGGUUGGCAGUGGUGGUAUUUCAGCAUACCUUGAUCAUCGUGCUUAUUACACAGCCUCCUUUACCAUCAACCCUACCUACCUUCUUCUAGCCAUGCCCCCCACCUCCUCCCGUCUCUAUCCAUCUCUUCGCUCUUUUAAAAAAUACUUAAGUGUGUACAGAUCACAGUGACUUCAUUUGUGUGCCCAUUCACAUUUGAUGACUUCCAUAACCCCCAUACAAGUAGUUGUGUAUUCGUUUUAAUUCACUUUAUUUAUUUCCUAGCUCUUUCAUAAAAUAAAAUGAAAUAUAAGUAAUGAAAUGGGAAUAAAAAAGAGAAAAAUAGAAUUGAGGGGGAAAAGGAGAAAUGCAUCUAUGUUUGUGAUCACGUUCAUCUUUCUCCAUGCAUCAAUAUGCAUACUAUUAUGAAUUCAUUGCACGUAUUUUAACAUGUAGGCACUACAUGGGGAUGUGGUGUCUACAUACCACCUCUAUAGUGGUAGGCACUGCAAAGGGACAUACAAAAGGUAAAAAGCAUAGUCUCUACUCUCAUAGGACUUUUCAUCUCAUGGAUGUGGCACUCAUAAUGUCUUUUAUCUGUGUCCCACUUGAUGUGAAACUCUUUAGUAGGCAUGAUCCUAUUUGAUUUCCAUAAGCAGAAGAGGGGUCACUGUUUCCAUGUUAUGAGAGAGGAAACUGAGGUUCAGAGAGUGAAAGGACCCUGAUGAGAUAAUGGAACUGGGGCUCAAAUCCUGGUUUCCCGACUCAACAUUUCACAUUCUUUCUACUCUGUCAUUAUUCAUUAGUCAAGUUUCUCCACAGACAACUCACUGAGCCACAACAUAUGAAGCAGCAUGGUAAUGCCACUAGACUGGUCAUGAUCAGAAGAUGUGGCCCCAGGGAAGAGAAAGCAAGAGAGCUGGAGAUAGCAGAGAAAGCACCAAGGAAGGGCUUGGCCGUGCAGCUCUAGCAGGGAGGUCCUUCCUUUCAGCCCCCAAGUGUCCCUCUGUGUCUCAUCUAAAAAGCAAAAAAAGAGGAGAACUAGAGCUUAUGGUUGAAGGCGUGAGAAUGAGGUGUCUUUUCCCUCUAUCUCUGUAAUAUACAAGUAUAAAUACUAUAUAUACAUAUGUAUAUGUGUUCCUUUUUUCUGUGUCUGAUUAUGCAUGCAAUUUAGCAAGGAUUUAUUGCCUAAUUUUGGUCUGGGCACUUUGCUAACGCAAUGGGGGAGGAUACCAAGAAAUUAGGGACUCAGCCUCAUUGUCCCCAGAGACUCCUGGGGGUGGGCAAGGCACGGUGUCUGUGCAUACUGCUGGGGGAGCUCUGGAUUAGGGGACAUCAGGAGACAUGACAUUGAAAUGUCCUACUCAGUUCUCUGUACAGAUUGGAUUUCCGUGGAAGAAAGAAAAUCAACAUGUAUUGGGAGUCAACAUCUCAUUCAGUCCUGUGAGUUUAUUCUGCCUAUUUUUCAGACAAGGAGACUAAGGCUUCAAGACGGUAAGUAAAUUGCCCACAGUGUCACUGCUGGUGUGGGAAUGAGCUUCAGGGUCAUUGAGUCAUGCUGCUGCCCAGGUACCCUGUAAGGCCGUCAAGUGUUGUGGGUAAGGGUUUUGGUGCUGACGUUCAGGUGAUUGUGAGUUUAAAGCCUGG